CUAUUCUUAAUAGGUGAUCCCAUUUCUCUUUACAUGUAGCCUAUCCACCUCAUCAAGCAUAUUUAAGCAAUCCUAGCUUGCCAUGUGUCAUAAAAGUGCCACCUCAGCCAAACAAAUAUUACUUCCUAAAUAAUUGUCCAAUUCAUCCAUUGAUGUUUCUGUUUCCUAAUCUUCUAUCUAUAAAUUCCCUCCAUGUCGCUCGCUGUCACAAAAAAUAAAAGUGUCCCUUCCACUUCGUCUUCUCCAUUCAUUAGCCUUCCACUUUAUCUCUCUUAGUUACUCACGGAAUAAAUCAGAAGAUUGAUUUUCUCCUUCGUUUUCAUCUUCUCCACUUAAGACUAACCAUUAAAUAGUGGAGCUCCUCCUAUAAAAAUCUCAACAACCAGCGGUGAGUCAUCCUAUCCUCUUCUCCACCUUCCCUUUGAGAUCUCUUACCUCCAUGAACUUAAAUUUUGAUCCUUUAGGUUUUGCCUUCAGGAAGCCAAUGUGCUGGAUAGGAUGCCCGGUCGGCCGGGCACAUCGGAUAAGUAGGACGAAUCUGGGAAGCAAGAGCCCUGGACCGUCGUCAAGCCCCAUUUUAGUCCCCUCACCGUAGCAGUGAUCAAGCUAGCUGCUAGCACAUACAGGAAGGUUUAGUUCUCUAAAAUUGAUGCUCAUGCACGGUAGAUUCAGUUGCAGUAAAUAAUCAAGCUUAUCCACCUGAUAUGACAUUUGUGGCUUCCUCAUGGAGCGGAUCCAACAGUGUGAAAAAAAUUCCAUAUGUAAAUCUGUAUAUUUAUGGUAAUUGAUAUUCAUUGUAGCGGCACACUUUAUGUUGUGUAAGCUAUUCAGAGUCUAUCCACCGUUCUACAUUUCUCCUCCUUGCCUCGUCUUACAUUUGUAAUAUGAUUGGUAAUCAAGAAAAAUAGCCAGCGGAGGUUCUUGAACAAA